rnacentral:lncRNA from 1 species
UUUAAUAAAUAUGGCUGCUCAUUAAAUGCCGUGUUUUGAAGCCGAAGUUUACCGAUUGCCACCUUAUAGUAAACAAAUAACAAAAAGCAUGGGUAUUGAGCACGUGUUUAACAUGUAUAAUCAGAUAAUUGUUUAUUUUAAUGACAGAUCCAUGCGUAUUGCGAUCACCGGAUUUUUACGAGGAGGUUCACGCUCAGGUCACU